GAUGAACGCUGACAGAAUGCUUAACACAUGCAAGUCUUUGGCGAAGCUGUGCUUGCACCGCCUAGCCAAGGCGGACGGGUGAGUAACGCGUAAGGAACUUGCCCUGCAGUCAGGGAUAACAGACGGAAACGACUGAUAAGACCUGGUAAAGUCAGGCGGACUCAUGUCCAGCCUGAUGAAAAGAGAUGCUGCAGGAGAGCCUUGCGUCCUAUUAGCUUGUUGGUGGGGUAACGGCCCACCAAGGCGAUGAUAGGUAGCCGGCCUGAGAGGGUGGACGGCCACAAGGGGACGGAGAUACGGCGCUUACUCCUACGGGAGGCAGCAGUGGGGAAUAUUGGACAAUGGGGGCAACCCUGAUCCAGCAAUUCUGUGUGCACGAUGAAGGUUUUCGGAUUGUAAAGUGCUUUCAGCAGGGAAGAAAAAAUGACGGUACCUGCAGAAGAAGCGACGGCUAAAUACGUG
rnacentral:rRNA from 1 species